UACAUGCAGUCGUGGGGCAGCGCAGUGUAGCAAUACAUGGGCGGCGACCGGCAAACGGGUGCGGAACACGUACACAACCUUCCUACAAGUGGGGAAUAGCCCAGAGAAAUUUGGAUUAAUACCCCGUAACAUAUAAAGAUGGCAUCAUUUUUAUAUUAUAGCUACGGCGCUUGUUGAUGGGUGUGCGGCUGAUUAGGUAGUUGGCGGGGUAAUGGCCCACCAAGCCUGCGAUCAGUAGCUGAUGUGAGAGCAUGAUCAGCCACACGGGCACUGAGACACGGGCCCGACUCCUACGGGAGGCAGCAGUAAGGAAUAUUGGACAAUGGGCGCAAGCCUGAUCCACCCAUGCCGCG
rnacentral:rRNA from 1 species